GCCGGCGUGAUGGAAUUGGUAGACGUGCUGGACUCAAAAUCCAGUUGGGGCGACUCAGUGUCGGUUCAAAUCCGACCGCCGGCA
rnacentral:tRNA from 1 species